rnacentral:rRNA from 1 species
UACGUAGGGGGCAAGCGUUGUCCGGAAUCAUUGGGCGUAAAGAGCGUGUAGGCGGUCCGAUAAGUCCGCUCUGAAAGCCCGGGGCUCAACCCCGGGAGGCGGGCGGAUACUGUCGGGCUAGAGUCCGGAAGAGGCAAGUGGACUUCCUGGUGUAGCGGUGAAAUGCGCAGAUAUCGGCAGGAACACCCAGGGGGAAACCAGUCGACUGGGCAGCACCUGACGCUGAGGUGCGAGAGCGUGGGGAGCGAACCGG